rnacentral:rRNA from 1 species
GAGUUUGAUCAUGGCUCAGAUUGAACGCUGGCGGCAGGCCUAACACAUGCAAGUCGAACGGUAACAGGAAACAGCUUGCUGUUUCGCUGACGAGUGGCGGACGGGUGAGUAAUGUCUGGGAAACUGCCUGAUGGAGGGGGAUAACUACUGGAAACGGUAGCUAAUACCGCAUAACGUCGCAAGACCAAAGAGGGGGACCCUCGGGCCUCUUGCCAUCGGAUGUGCCCAGAUGGGAUUAGCUUGUUGGUGGGGUAACGGCUCACCAAGGCGACGAUCCCUAGCUGGUCUGAGAGGAUGACCAGCCACACUGGAACUGAGACACGGUCCAGACUCCUACGGGAGGCAGCAGUGGGGAAUAUUGCACAAUGGGCGCAAGCCUGAUGCAGCCAUGCCGCGUGUAUGAAGAAGGCCUUCGGGUUGUAAAGUACUUUCAGCG